CUGGGGGAAUUUCCAGUGAAAUCUCUACUGAUUUAGUCACAUGCAUCAUCCUUUGAGGCGCAGGACCGGGCAGCAGAAGUUCCUGUAAAGAAGCCACGUAGAGUCCGUGUGGGGGUCCCAAAGUGACUGGACCAACCGUGAGCUGAAGCCUUGGAGACCAUGAGUCAAAUGGAAGUCAAUACUCGUUCUCUGAGCUGAUUCCCUCCUGUGUUCGGUCACAGCAACAGAAACCUGACUCGCACAGGCAAAAGCGAGCAAGGCCAUCUUCCUCAUCCGGCAGAUUGCUUUCAAACGUGUGUCAACAAACGAGAGAAAGCCACACUCUCGAUCCCCCCCCCCCAAGCAGCACAUGUGAGCUGUUGUUUCAAAUAUUAAGACACUUUUCAAAGCUCUCAAUUUCUGGGGCUGGAGAGAUGGUUCAGCAGUUAAGGGCACUGGCUGCUCUUGCGGAGGACCUAGGUUCAAUUCCCAGCACUCCCGUGGUAGUUCAAUCAUCCGUAACCCCAGUUCCAGAGGAACUGACGCCCUCCUCUGACCUCUGAGAGCACCAGGCAUGCACAUGAUGCUUAUAAAUACAUUCAGGCAAAACACUCACGCACAUAAAAUAAGAUAAAAAAAAAAAUCUCAAUUCCUGAAUCUCAAAGAUCUGUAGAAUGACUACAUGAAUUAAUGGAACCAACCCACAAUUCCAGGGAGAAUGAACGGAGGAGCAAUUGAGUCAGCGGCUGUUCCAUAGCCAUGUCCCCAGGCAAGAGUGACCAACCUGCAAACAGAUGAACAUUUGUGAAUGGAAGCCGUGGUCUUCUCAAGGGAGAAGGGACUAGGCCAAUGCUGGCCGCCGACCUCUGAAAACCGACAGGUGUUCGUUUGCCUGUGUCUGUCUGUUGAGAAAGCGUCUUGCUAGAUUGUAGUUUCAGACCUCAGUGGGCCUUAAACUCAAGAUUCUCCUGCCUCAUCCUCCCAAGGAGAGAUCAUAAAUGUGCACCACACCGGGUUUGAAGGACAAAGACCCAGUGGAUAAAGGCAUCGUAAGGACACACCUGAAAAUGCCGAUUUUAUAAUAACCGAGUCCUCUCUCUCUCUCCUCCUCCGCUCGCCCGGCCCCGCAGGAGUAAUCUACUGCAUCCAGCCCUUUCCCGCCUCCUCCUUCUGAAAUCUAUCUGUCUCCGUAGCUGUUUAUCUCCAAGCAUUUUUAUUUCCAGAGAUGCCUAAAGAGGACAAGUGACUCACAGGCCCGGGAGCUCAGGUGAAAAAACCUUCUCUCCGCUCACCACCUGGGCUUCCCAGCCACAGAUUUCCUUUAAACACACAGUUAUCAUUAAAAUUCUCCCUGGUUUUCA